UACGGAGGGGCGAGCGUUGUCCGAAGUUACUGGGCGUAAAGCGCGUGUAGGCGGGUUGUCAAGUCCGCUGUGAAAGCCCGAGGCUCAACCUCGGAGGGUCGGUGGAUACUGACAGUCUUGAAGGUGCUAGGGGGAGAUGGAAUUACCGGUGUAGCGGUGAAAUGCGUAGAGAUCGGUAGGAACACCAGUGGCGAAGGCGGUCUCCUGGGGCAUUCUUGACGCUGAGACGCGAAAGCGUGGGGAGCGAACAGG
rnacentral:rRNA from 1 species